GUCUUUUCGGAUUACUUAUCUACAAUGAACAUAUAUAGCAAUCUAGUAUUAGCGACCAAACGUCACAAUUCAAUUAUUUGAAUUCACCAAACUAGUGGUUAAGUAGUAAGCCUUAAUUACACCAUAAAGGGUGUCACUUUAACCCUCUUAUACUCCAAUUACAUUCACAUGCCAUGCAUAUUCAUACAACAUCCUCCAAUAUCAAGUUUGGAUUCAUUUAUCCUUCCAAUCAAUCUAUUAAACCAAAUUGAGCCAUAGACAUAAAUAAUCAUCAAUUCAAUAGUAUAUCACCAUAUCCACCUUCCAUAACUCAAUUACCAUAUCCACCUUCCACAAUUCAAUACAACCAAAUCAUGCAAAAUAGUCCAUAACCCUAUUUUCAUCACCUUUCAAUAACAACCAAUACAUAUAAUCCUCUAUCACACAUAUACAUAUAGAAAAGAACAAAGGCAAACAAUAUUCAUACCUUAGAAUUCACCUCUUGAUUAUGCAAUCCUGUUUGCACAAAUAUUAGGUGCCGUUCAAAGCUCUCGAUAUGUCAAACGCAGUUAUCGAAUUACUUUGAAAUUUCUACGGUUUAAUCAAAAGUAAUUUAAAGGUCAAAUUUGGCUAGGGUUUGUUCUUUCUCAAUGAUUGAUGAUGAAAAUAAACAACAUUCAUACCUUAGAAUUCACCUCUUGAUUAUGCAAUCCUGUUUACACAAAUAAUAGGUGCCGUUCGAAGCUCUCGGGAUGACAAACGCAGUUAUCGAAUUACUUUGGAAUUUCUACGGUUGAAUCAAAAGUAAUUUAAAGGUCAAUUUGGCUAGGGUUUGUUCUUCCUCAAUGAUUGAUGAUGAAAAUGAGGUUUUGAACUCAUAUACAUGUAUAUAUACAUAUAUUCCCGUCCAUAAUAUAAUAGAAAAUGACGAAAAUGCCUUUAAAAUUUAAAUAAUGUCAAAUCUAUCCUUUAGUGGACUGUUUUGAUAAGCUAAAGUAGAUCGACCAUAACUCUUUGCUCCGAUAUCGAAUUUGGGUGAAAUUGAUAUCAUUGGAAGGAUAAUUCAAAGAUAUUUCAUUUU
rnacentral:lncRNA from 1 species